ensembl:rRNA 5S_rRNA 5S ribosomal RNA
UGCCACAGCCAUAUCACCCAGCAGCCCAAGACUGGUUACCCACUGUAACUAACCAGGGUUGAGCCUGGUCAGUACCUGGAUGGGAGAGCUCCUGGGAAAAUGCUCCGGUUACUCACGUAA